AGCCAAGCCAAGCAAAGAUGUCAACAUGCUGAUAUUGCUGCUGCAGCAAAUAAAAACAAGUCAGGACUUUCAAGUAGGCAAGAAAAUCAAUUAUGAAUUAAUUUCCUUUAUCAUUUUCUGCUGAAACGUAGUUGCUUAUGAAGUUAUGAUGGACUUCAUUUCUGCAGCUACAAUGUCUUAUAUAAGGGGUUAGCUUUAUAGCAUUUAUCUCCCUCAAAACCUGAUGAAUCCCCAUUAAAGGUAACACAUUAGCAAAGAAAACUGAACCCUUCUUAGCAAAUCACUUUAGCGUAACAACGCUAUGCAUGCCCUGCAAUGUGAAAGAUAUAUCAAGCAUUAACAAAACUACACAGUUGUCGUAGCAAUUGCUUGAAUUUUGGCAGGACACUCAGGAAUAUAUUAAAUGAGGUUAUUUUGUCGUUCUACAUAAAAUGGCGACUGGCUCUAUGAUUUGACACACCGUUUCUCGGCUCUUCUCCACCAAUACCUGGGCUCUUUUGCCGCCGUCCACUGCUUUUCAGGGGCAUGAUAUAGGAUAAAAAAGGGGGAAGCUAUGAAUUGAAGAUUUUCUGUACCUACUUCGCAAGGGAGAUGGGGUGUUGGGAAGCAUGGCUUAAUCAAAUCUUAAAGGGUCCAUGAAUGCUAAGCUAAAUCAAAACACUGGCUUAUGUUACAAAUUUGAUAAAGCAUAGUCAAUCCAGUUCUUAUCAAAUUAUAAUGCAACAGAGCAAUGGUGAAUGUGGAAGAGAAGGAU